rnacentral:lncRNA from 1 species
GUGAAUUUGCUUAAUUAAUAAGUGAUACAUUCGAGGCGAAAAGUGUUAGAACUUAGUACACGAUCGAGAACUUUUACAUCUCAAAGAUACUAAAAUUGAACUAAAAAAUAGACGAAUUAGUGAUAACAAGGAGAGAAACUAAAAACUGAUUACAAGACAAAGUAACGAACUAAUGCAGUAGCCGAGUCGAGCAGAACUCUUUCUGCAAGAAGAAAAUCGCCCUGGAAGUGCUCUUUGGUGUUGGCGAUUCUUCCCUAAAGGUAAAACGGCAACGUCUCGACGGAUGUAGCACCAUAAGUUCGGCGAACUGAACAAGGAUGAGAGUUGAGCAAGCUAUGAAAGUUUAUGCAGAAUUUUUUGUGUAAGAAAUGCUCUCUAUGCAGUCCUAUUUAUAGGCUACUCAUGAAUGGAGGGAUCAAAGAGCUUCAUCAAUUGAAUUAAACAACAGAAUGCUGUUUUUGCAUGUUGCUGAAUUCAAAUGAUUUGAAUUCUUCAAAGGAAUUUGAACUGCUCUAGCUGCUUCAGGUCUGGACGCAUGGGCUCUGAGGUUUUCCAAAAAAAAUAUAGUUGGGCCCAAACACCACCCAAAGCACCAAUUGCAAAGAUCCAGGUUCUUGACCGC